GGAGAGGUGGAAGAGGAGGAAAGGAAGAGGGGAGGUAAAGGAAGAAGGGAAGGGGAAGGAAGAAGAGGAGGAGUGUUUGUAGAGCACGUCAAGUUUUUCCUUCCCUGGGAGUGACUGACAGCCUGAAAGUGUGAUGUUGAUGUGAUGUUUCUUGAGGUUGUGGUGAUGUGUUGAAGUGACAUGUAGGACUAUAGAGCAUGUCAUGUCUCUCCUUCACUGGUUGUCAUCUCUCAGUCUGUUUGAUAUGAGCGACUGACAGCCUGAAAGUGUGAAGUUGAUGUGAUGUUUCUUGAGGUUGUGGUGAUGUGUUGAAAUGACUUGUAGUGACUGUAGAGCAUGUCAUGUCUCUCCUUCCCUGGUUGUCAUGUCUCAGUCUGUUUGAUAUGAGCGACUGACAGCCUGAAAGUGUGAUGUUGAUGUGAUGUUUUCUGAGGCUGUGGUGAUGUGUUGAGAUGACUUGUAGUGACUGUAGAGCAUGUCAUGUCUCUCCUUCACUGGUUGUCAUGUCUCAGUCUGUUUGAUAUGAGUGACAGGGAGCCUAAAAGUGUGAUACAGAUGUGAUGUUUCCUGAGGCUGUUGUGGUGAUGUGUUGAGAUGACUUGUAGUGACUGUAGAGCAUGUCAUGUCUUUCCUUCACUGGUUGUCAUGUCUCAGUCUGUUUGAUAUGAGUGACUGACAGCCUGAAAGUGUGAUGUUGAUGUGAUGUUUCUUGAGGUUGUGGUGAUGUGUUGAAGUGACAUGUAGGACUAUAGAGCAUGUCAUGUCUCUCCUUCACUGGUUGUCAUGUCUCAGUCUGUUUGAUAUGAGCGACUGACAGCCUGAAAGUGUGAUGAUGUGAUGUUUUCUGAGGUUGUGGUGAUGUGUUGAAGUGACAUGUAGGGCUGUAGAGCAUGUCAUGUCUCCUUCACUGGUUGUCAUCUCUCAGUCUGUUUGAUAUGAGUGACUGACAGCCUGAAAGUGUGAUAUAGCUGAGAUGUUUUCUGAGGUUGUGGUGAUGUUUUGAGAUGACUCGUAGGACUUUAGAUGCAUGUCAUGUCUUGGCUGUCUCUGGUUGUAUUCUCUCCAUCUGUCUGACAUGAGCGACUGACGACGUUGAACUGUGUCUUAUGAGGUUGUUGAGAUGCGUUUCUUUGCCUUGUUCGAUAUGUGUGUGUUUCUGCUCCUCAAUCCUUUAUCUCUGUCUCUGCCAUUGGAUAAGUAGUAUUUCAUAGAGGUUCAGUAUUGAGUUAGUAAUGUUCUAUAGAGGUUCAGGAUACAGACACAUAACUAGUUGCUUUCCAGGAAGAUUUAACAUUGAAUUAGUGGGAGUAUUGUUUUUAUAAAGGUUCGGGAUUUAGACACAUAAUUAGUCGCUUUCCAAGAAGAUUUAACAUUGAAUAAGUGAAAGCACUAUUUUUAUAUAGGUUCCAUCAUCAGGAUUUAGACACAUAACUAGUCGCUUUCCAGGAAGAUUUAACAUUGAAUAAGUGGAAGCAUUGUUUUUAUAUAGGUUUCAACAACUGAAUAUAAGGGUUCACGAUUACACAGGAACAUAUAGUCGUCUUAGUUGGAAUAUACAGUUAAAAGACACAGUUUCUGCUUGGAAUAUCAAGAGUACAAGGACUUAGGUUACUGCACAGCCUUCCAGCACUGGGCACCUCACUUGUACCCAACACAGCACCAUCAGCACUUUGAAUUUCUGUACAGCACCAACAUACUGAAAAAAUUAAACUACCACCCAGAAAUCUCGCUUCAGAACUACU